UAUGCCGGGAGCCUCGCGGCAGCCACCCCCUGCUUCCUGGAUGGCUACAGUGAGGGACAGUCGCCCCCUUAGAGCUCGGCCGCGACGCCGAGACUGGGCUGCAGACCCCUGCCUGCGCCCCUCGGCCUGCGGCUGGGUGGGACUCUGCAGCCCGACGUCCUGCGCACCCACCGAAGCGGGCACCUAGGAGUGCGCCCUUGUCUCCAUCCGAGUGUCCGCUGCUGGGUAGCUUCCUCGGGGCCUGGAGACCUCGGGCGCAACCCCCUCCUCGCAGUGGGACCCGGAGAGAGCCUCAGUAAGAGGUUACGAACAGAAGCAGUGACCCAAAGCAGCCGUGCUGGAAAGUCUGUACCCCGCAUGGAUGAUGCUUCCCAUGGCUGCACAGAUGGAUCCCAGUUUCUAUAAUCUUCAUCAACCCCUCCCUGAGACCCUAAGGCUUGUGCAGUUAGGGGAGAAUUGCAUACUAGUUGGAAGGAGUGGCUGGAUAUUCAGAUUCAGAAAAGCAUCUGAAAGAUGUUCAAGCACUUAAAGAAGUGAGACUGGAGGUCGGAGAGUGGCCCAGUGGUUAAGAGCACCUACUGCGCUUGCAGAGGACCCAGAUUUGGUUCCCAGCACCCAAGUCACAACCACUUGUAACUUGAGAGGAUCCAGUGCC